UCUUAUUAUCUAUCCCUUUCCUAAGGGGUUCCUAACAUUCUGUUAGCUUUUUUGAUUGCCAUUGCACACUGAGCAGAUGUUUUCAGAGAACUAUCCACAAUGACUCUAAGAUCUUGCUUGAGUGGUAGCAGCAGAUUUAGACUCCAUGAUUUUGUAUGUAUAGUUGGGAUUAUGUUUUCCAGUGUGCAUUACUUUGUCAAUUAUCAACAUUGAAUUUCAUCUGCCCAGUUUGGUA